rnacentral:tRNA from 1 species
GGUGGGUUGGUUCAGUGGUUGGAGCGUAGGUCUCGUAACCGAAAGGUCGCGGGAUCGAAUCCCGCUAGAGGCUG